GGGUUGUGAGGUUAAGCGACUAAGCGUACACGGUGGAUGCCCUGGCAGUCAGAGGCGAUGAAGGGCGUGCUAAUCUGCGAUAAGCGCCGGUAAGGUGAUAUGAACCGUUAUAACCGGCGAUACCCGAAUGGGGAAACCCAGUGUGACUCGUCACACUAUCAUUAACUGAAUCCAUAGGUUAAUGAGGCGAACCGGGGGAACUGAAACAUCUAAGUACCCCGAGGAAAAGAAAUCAACCGAGAUUCCCCCAGUAGCGGCGAGCGAACGGGGAGGAGCCCAGAGCCUGAAUCAGCAUGUGUGUUAGUGGAAGCGUCUGGAAAGGCGCGCGAUACAGGGUGACAGCCCCGUACACAAAAGCGCAUGUGCUGUGAGCUCGAUGAGUAGGGCGGGACACGUGGUAUCCUGUCUGAAUAUGGGGGGACCAUCCUCCAAGGCUAAAUACUCCUGACUGACCGAUAGUGAACCAGUACCGUGAGGGAAAGGCGAAAAGAACCCCGGCGAGGGGAGUGAAAAAGAACCUGAAACCGUGUACGUACAAGCAGUGGGAGCACCCUUUGGGGUGUGACUGCGUACCUUUUGUAUAAUGGGUCAGCGACUUAUAUUCUGUAGCAAGGUUAACCGUAUAGGGGAGCCGGAGGGAAACCGAGUCUUAAUUGGGCGUUAAGUUGCAGGGUAUAGACCCGAAACCCGGUGAUCUAGCCAUGGGCAGGUUGAAGGUUGGGUAACACUAACUGGAGGACCGAACCGACUAAUGUUGAAAAAUUAGCGGAUGACCUGUGGCUGGGGGUGAAAGGCCAAUCAAACCGGGAGAUAGCUGGUUCUCCCCGAAAGCUAUUUAGGUAGCGCCUCGUGAAUUCAUCUCCGGGGGUAGAGCACUGUUUCGGCUAGGGGGCCAUCCCGGCUUACCAACCCGAUGCAAACUGCGAAUACCGGAGAAUGUUAUCACGGGAGACACACGGCGGGUGCUAACGUCCGUCGUGAAGAGGGAAACAACCCAGACCGCCAGCUAAGGUCCCAAAGUCAUGGUUAAGUGGGAAACGAUGUGGGAAGGCCCAGACAGCCAGGAUGUUGGCUUAGAAGCAGCCAUCAUUUAAAGAAAGCGUAAUAGCUCACUGGUCGAGUCGGCCUGCGCGGAAGAUGUAACGGGGCUAAACCAU
rnacentral:rRNA from 1 species